UUAAUUGAAGCCAAAAUAGAGGCAUUUCAUUGUUAAUGAAAUUAUUGAUUACUAUCCAAUUAAA
rnacentral:tRNA from 1 species